rnacentral:pre_miRNA from 1 species
UUUUUACUCCCUCUGUCCCAUAGUAAGUGACAAAAUAUUAUAUGUAUCUAGACGCUUUUUCGACAUAAAUACAUUCAUAGUUGGGCAAAUUUGAGUCACUUAAUAUGGGACGGAGGGAGUAUAUG